UUACGCCCAUAUCACAUUGAAACACUGGUUCUUGUUCACUCACUAAAGUUAAGCAACAUUGAGCUUGGUCAGUACUUAGAUGGGUGACCACUUCAGAAUACCAAGUGAUGUAAG